UUAUGGGGACAGCCGAUAAAUAAAUAAAAAAACGAAGUGCAUGACAGUCUUUGCCAAAGGUAACCUGCAUUUAUCUUCUAGGGAGAGUUGGGCCUUGUUGGAGUUGUUGGCCCCAGAGGCCCGCAGGUAAGAGGAGACGUUUGUCUUGUUGUGUUUUCUUGCCUGAAGUUGGGUCACAUUCAACAGAACUACAUGCUCUAUGCUUGUUAGACUAUAAAGGAAAUAUUUCUGUUUAUUUCACCAGGGGCCCCAGGGUUUAGAUGGUGAGAGUGGGCCUCCAGGUCUCAGGGGAAUUCAGGUCAGUCUCAAUCAGCUGCACAACUUUCCCUAACAGAGACUUGGGACCAGAUGAUUGUCUUUGGAAAUGUAUUUUUCUGAGGGAUAAUAUCUGGGGUUAAAGGUCAUCUGUAUUUUCACAGGGACAGCUUGGGAUGAGUGGUGCCGCUGGUCCGAAAGGUGACCCUGGACCAAUGGGGAUGAUGGGUAUCCAGGGUGAGCUAGGGUUCGAGGGGCCCAUGGGCCCACUGGGAAUACAAGGUCCAAUGGGUUUCCCUGGUAUUACUGGAAAAAGAGGACCAGACGGGGAUAAGGGAGACCCUGGACCAAAGGGGGAGAGAGUAAGAACCCGGUCUCUGGAGACCUGUACACAUUCCGCAAAACUAAAGCUGUUGAUUCAUACUUUUUACGUCUAUUGUGAGUUACCCGUUUAUCUGUUUCUGUCUCUCUCUCUCUCUCUCUCUCUCUCUCUCUCUCUCGCUUGUUCUAUCUCUCAGGGUGUUCAGGGUUCUUCGGGUAUCCAAGGGCCUCAGGGAGAGAGGGGUCCCAGUGGCCCCCCUGGCUUUACAGGGCUCAAAGGUCAAUCUGGCACUAAAGGCAUUGAGGGGGAGAAUGGAGAAACUGGCCAUCAGGGAAAACUGGGCAGACAGGGGCUGAAGGGGAAUAGAGGGACAGCUUGGCGCAACGGCAAGCCUGGACACAGAGGGAACAAGGUAGGACACUCUCCCAUUGAAUGCGUUUAUGAAGGUUGCUAAAAUGUCCAGGUUAUCCAGCAUUUCUAGGAUAUGUAAUUUC
rnacentral:lncRNA from 1 species